rnacentral:rRNA from 1 species
UGCGCAGGCGGCUCGUUAAGUCGGAUGUGAAAUCUCACAGCCUAACUGUGAUAGGUCAUUCGAAACUAGCGGGCUCGAGGACUGGAGAGGAGACUGGAAUAGUCGGUGUAGCGGUGAAAUGCGUAGAGAUCGACUAGAACACCGGUGGCGAAGGCGGGUCUCUGGACAGUUCCUGACGCUGAGGACGAAAGCCAGGGGACGCGAAACG